rnacentral:sRNA from 1 species
UCAUAAACCUUAUUGAAGUGGAAAGCCCGCAAGCCUGAUCUUUCAUCAGGUGCGGACUUGUAACGGAAAGAAGGACUGCAA